CCAGAAACCCAAUCGGUAUACAGACCUAAAAUCAAGUCGAGUCCAACAACAAACUCUUAAGCAGUGUGUAGAAGACAUUUUGGGUAGAGGCCGAGCGAGAGAGAUAAAUAGGAGAGGAUAAAUGGCGACCGACUUAGCGACCGACGUAGCGAUGGCGGCACAGACGGAGGCUGUGACGUUGGAGGAGACGGUGACGAAACAGCCGCACAGGUUGGAGAGGAAGUGGACGUUCUGGUUCGACAACCAAUCCAAGCCCAAGCAAGGCGCGGCCUGGGGCACCUCUCUCCGCAAACUCUACACCUUCGACACCGUCGAAGAGUUCUGGUGUUUGUAUGAUCAGAUAUUCAAGCCCAGCAAGUUCCCUGCAAAUGCAGAUUUUCACUUGUUCAAAGCUGGGACUGAACCUAAAUGGGAAGAUCCUGAGUGUGCUAAUGGAGGAAAGUGGUCCAUUCCCGCCAAUAAAAAGGCUACCCUUGAUAACAUGUGGCUAGAAACUUUGAUGGCCUUGAUUGGAGAGCAAUUUGAUGAUGCUGAUGAGAUCUGUGGUGUGGUUGCUAGCGUGCGCCAGAGGCAGGACAAACUUGCGUUAUGGACCAAGACAGCAGCAAAUGAAGCUGCCCAGGACAGUUCCUUUCUAUCUCCCUGUAAAUUGAGAAUGAGUAUUCUAUAUAACGUAAUGGUUGCCUUACCCGUGCAAGACUAGAUGGACACUGCACCUUCUUAAGAAUGAGCAUUGGGAGGAAGUGGAGGGAGAUCGUUGAUGUCACUGAUAAAAUGACUUACAGCUUCCAUGAUGAUUCUAAAAGGGAAAGAUCGGCCAAAGCUCGAUACAAUCUGUGAUUGUGCAAUUAAUUUGCUGUGCAAUUUUCUUCUCUCAGUUGUGGGAGUGAUGAAAGCCAAUGAAAUUGCUUUGAUGUUAUUUUUUUUUAGGAUUGUUGGUAUAUACUACCCAAAGUGAGCUGUGUUUGAGGGUCGAUAUCCCAUAUGGUUUUUCAUAUAUUGCUCCUUGUGAUUACUAUAUUCACUACUGGCUGUUUUGUCAUGCUAGAGCCGCAACUUGCGAACGAUAAUAGAAAUUGCGUUUUGCUCUCUUCCUCCUAUGAUUGCAAAAAGGAAAACCAAGAGAAAAGCUGAUAAUUCCUUUCUA